GACUCGUUUAGGUCUUGGCUUUCUGGUCGAAUUGAUCCUGAUUUGUUUUCAUUCGAAGUCCUUGCUGUGGUACAGAACUUAGGAAUGGUUGUGCUUUGAAGGGUUUCUUGCAAAUGCUUUCUUUCCCCUUCACUUACACUUCUCUUUCCCCUUCACUUACACUUCUCUUUCAUAAGGGUGUCUUAUGUUUUGUAUUAUCUUCCUUACCAAUGAUUUUUAUAUUUGUUACUAACAAGUUUAGGUGAACUUAAUUUUGGAUGGGCAUAUGGUCAUUGCAUUGUUGAACAAAACCUCCUUUUUGUUUUGUGGUUUCUUGCUCGUGGACUUGUUGCUUGUGUGUUGCCUUAUAUUGUUUGCAAGCAUGGAGCAUGUUGGUAUAUUUUUCCCCCUCAUUUGUGGAAUUUCUUGACUUUCUACUCCUGGGUGGUUUGCAGUCCUCCAGAAGGGGGAUGCACUAUUUUGAAGAUGGGUCAAGAGAGCUACUUAAGUUGUACAAAAUUUGAGGGUUCAAGCUCAGGAAUCAGUUCCUGUAUAAUAGCAGUGAUGUGAUUUUAUGUACGAUCUCAUUAAGGACUUCAGUAAAUGUCAAAGUGCAGUUGGGUCCUUGUGGCAGGGCAGCAUUUGAUUAGUCUUGGUUUGUGCUUAUUUAUGUUUGGAAAGUUGUGUAACAGUAUCUUUGGUAUUAUUUCCCCAUCUUCCCAUUUUAAAAAUCUUCCUUCAUCUAUAUUUCUCUUUUGUGCCCUUUGCUCUGAAAUUCAUGCAUCCUUUUUACUUGAAAUAUUAGGUGAGGAUGGGAACCCCUUUUCCGUUCUCUGUAAUUGGGUUAUUCUACUUGUUCAGAUAUAGUGGAGGGGCGCACUAAAUCCUCGUUUGUCUAUUAGUUCUCAGUUAUUCCCUUCAGUGCAGGACACAACAGUUUGGUAGCUCGCAAGGCUCAUAACUUUGAGGUCACAGUUUCAAAUCCUGUCUAGGCAAAAUUCUUUUUAUGCUUGUUUUUUGUUUUUUUGCCAGUGUGAAUGAGUUCCUUUUGCUGGUUGGUCGUUACUUUUUUGCUUGUUUGCAGUCUAUUACUUGAAGACGGACUUGGUGAAAGUUAAAGAGCCUGUUAAAUAGCUGGACUUCUUACUUGUGUUGUUGGACUGUCUCCUGCGAUUAGUUGAGAAUAAAAGAGAGAAUCUAAUUUGCAGUUUUAGUUUUUUGUUCUAUAUUUUUUUUUAUUUUUGCUGGAACUCUCUUUUUGGUGCUUACAUACACUUGUUAUUUUGCUUGUUUGUAGUCGCUUUUCUUCGACUUGACCUUAAGGUGGAUUUCAAGUACGGUCUUUUGGAAGAGCUUAGAGAAUCUCUACCUGGUUAUACUGCAGGAAAUGAUCAGUCUUUUGCUCUUUAAUUGGUAUAAGCAUGAUGAGAAUGAUAUAUAGCUGUUGUUGUUAUAGAACCUUCAGCUUGAUAGUUUGUGUUAGGAUUUUGAGUGAUCGGCAUAUUUUACCCAAACCUGAGUUGUAAUGUGUCAAAGUGCCUAGAGUUGUUUGUGAACAUCUAUUUUUUUUUGGAUAUAGCUAUUGCUGUUGCUUGUCACUUCAUCUUGUAGGGGUUCCAUGACAAUUCUGGAUGGUUCAAUAAUUCUAUACACUGUUAGAAAUGACGCAUUAGGUUUUUAACUGUCUUUGAGCUCUGUUUAGUGUGUGGGUUUAACUAAAGAUGCUGUUCAGGAAUGCAGUGCUGCUCCUUGGAUGAGACUGAUUGGACAUCAAGUUGAUCCUUUCUGAUACGUAGAGUUCCCUCUGCUUUUGAUAUGGUGAGAUGCAGGAGCAACCUGCUGGAGCAACUGUUUACUUGUUACCUCUGGCUUAAAUUUGUGCUAUUUUGGGAAAAACUUUAUUUUUGUUAUCUCUGGCUUAAAUUUGUGCUAUUUUGGGAAAAACUUUAUUGAGUUGGGCAGUGUGAGUUAUUUUUUUUUCUUCUCUCAAUCAGAUCAGCUUUUUCGUCGUCCGUGUUUUGAGAUUCUCUUAUAUUGCAUUUCGUUUUCAGCUUUAUGUUCAUUUGUGGUUUUACGUUACUGCAGAAGCAUAUAAUAAUGAAUCGUUUCUAAUUUGGUACUUUCUUUCUGUCUUUGUGCUUCUGUUAGAUUGUAAUGAUACAGGAUGUAGGAACACAUCAGAGAGGUUUAUUAUUUGACUCCUUCUCCACCUACAAGCUAUAUGUUCUUUCCUUUCCAUCUUUUUUCUAAACAAAAUUAUUCAGUGUUGAUGGAUGUAUGCAAAACCUUGGUAUCUUGUGUUUUUAUAUUACCUACCUUACACUUCACUUCCAGUUCUCUCCUUUUCGAGGUUUUUUUUUUUUUUUUUUUUUUCAUCUUCCUUACCGAUGAUUUUUAUAUCUGUCACUAGCAAAUUUAGGGUAUCAUAUAUUUACGUUUUAGCAUGUGUGAAUGAGUUUCUUUUGCUGGUUGCUGUUUCUUUUUUGCUUGUUUGCAGUCACUUGAAGAUGGAUUUCGUGAAAGUUAAAGAACCUUUUGCAUUGCUGGACUUCUUACUUGUUAUUGGACUGUACAUCUGUGAUUAGUUGAAAACAGAAGAGAGUAUCUAAUUCUCUGUUUUUAUUUUUAGUUCUUGGAUUUUGCUUGACCUCUGUUUCUGGUGUUUACAGACACUUGUUAUUUUGCUUGUAUGUAGUUGAUUUUGAGAGCAGUAUUUUGGAAGAGCUAAGAGAACCUUUACCUGGUUAGACUGCAGGAACUGAUCAAUGUUUCUGUAAGUUUGUAUUCGGAUAUUGAGUCAUUGGCGUAUCUUACCCAAAACCUGAGUUGUAAUGUAUCAAAGUGCCUUGAGUUGUUUAUGGACAUUUUUUGAAGACACGACAGACAAAAAAUGAGAUGAUCAUGUGGAAUAUUUGCAUCCUCAAUCGCACAAAUAGGUAUCAGGUAAAUGGACUUUAGUAAAUACCUUAGUUUGACCUUUGAUCUUGGUUUGGCUCAUAAACUGUUUUAUUCUAAACUUUUAAGUUCUAGAUUUUUUUCAAAAGCUUGGAAAUUAUCCUUUGAUCGAUCCAGAGAGCUUUGAUAGAAUGAUCAACUAAUUGAAUUGGUUUCAGGUAACAUUUAGUUCAAAGUCAGAAUGCAACUGUUGCAUGGUCAAUAGAUUGAAAUCCUUUGAGUUCCAGUAGUCUUAGAUCAACCCAACUUGUUGGACCUAUCUAUUCGGUACCCAUAUGAUAGUAGUGGUGUGUUUUUAUGCUUGGUUUAAAUUUUUUUUUUUUUUUUUUACCAUGUGUGAAUGAGUUUCUUUUGCUGGUUGCUCGUUACUUUUUUGUUCGCUUGCAGUCACUUGAAUAUGGACUUAGUGAAAGUUAAAGAACCUUUUUCGUGGGUGGACUUCUUACUAUUUUGGACUGUACAUCCUGUGAUUAGUUGAAAACAGAAGAGAGUAUCUAAUUCUGUUUUUGUUUUUUGUUCUGUCGGCUUGGAUUUUGCUUUACCUCUCGUUUUGGUGUUUACAGACACUUGUUAUUUUGGUUGUUUUUAGUUGAUUUUGAGAGCGGUCUUUUGGUAAAGCUAAGAGAACCUUUACCUGGUUAAACUGCAGGAAAUGAUCAAUGUUUUGGUAAGUUUGUAUAAGGAUAUUGAGUCAUUGGCAUAUCUUACCCAAAACCUGAGUUGUAAUGUAUCAAAGUGCCUUGAGUUGUUUAUGGACAUUUUUUUGAAGACAUGGCGGACAAAAAGGGAGAAGAUUAUUCUGUAAUAUUUGCUUCCUCAAUCACACAAUUAGGUAUCAGGUAUUAUUUAGUUCAAAGUCAGAAUUCAUUGAUUGCAUGGUUGAAAGAUGGAAUGCCUGUGAGACUUCCGGAUCUCAAUGAAGGCCAGUAGUGCUCGGUAAAUGUCAUAGUGCAGUUGGGACCUGUGGUAGGCAGCAUUCGAUUCGUCUUGGUUUGUGCUUAUUUAGGUUUUGAAAGUUGUGUAACAGUGUAUUUGAUAUUAUUUAACCUUCUUCCCAAUUUUUACUGUUGUGUUUAUUCUUCCUUCAUCUAUAUUUCUCUUUUCCACCAUUUGUUCUGAAAAUUCAAAGAUCUUUCUUGCUUGAAAUAUUAGGUGAGGAUUACUAUUCCCUUACAAUUCAUUAUAAAUGGGUUAGUCUAUUUGUACAGCUAUAGUGGAGGUGCAUGUUAAAUCCUUGUUUGUCUAUUAGUUCUCAGUUCCUGUCUUAAGAGUGGGGCCUUCGCCGAAUUAUUUUUUUUCUUUUUUAUUUUAUUUUAUUUAGCAUGUGUGAAUAAGUGUGUUUUGCUGGUUGCUCGUUACUUUUUUGCUUAUUUGCAGUCACUUGAAGAUGGACUUGGUGAAAGUUAAAGAGCCUUUUGUGUGGCUGGACUUCUUACUUGUGAUUAGACUAUACAUCCUGUGAUUAAUUAAAAACAGAAGAGAGUAUCUAUUCUCUGGUUUUGUUUUUUGUUCUUGGAUUUUGCUUGACCUCUCUCUUUGGUGUUUACAAACUUCUGUUAUUUUGCUUGUUUGUAGUUUAUUUUGAAAGCAGACUUUUGGAAAAGCUAAGAGAACCUUUACCUGGUUAGACUGCAGGAAAUUUUCUUUGUUGCAAGUUUGUAUUAGGAUAUUGAGUCAUUGGCAUAUCUUACCCAAAACCUAAGUUGCUAUAUAUAUCAAAGUUCCUUUAGUUUUUUAUGGACAUUUUUUUGAAGACAUGGCAGACAAAAAAUUGAGAAGAUCAUGGUGAAAUAUUUGCAUCCUCAAUUGCACAAUUAGGUACAGGUAAAUGGUCUUUAGUAAAUACCUUAG